GCUGUUGGUUGAGCAAAUUCAAUCAGUAGCGAAGCUAACGCGUUAAGUUCUCCGCCUGGGGAGUACGACCGCAAGGUUGAAACUCAAAGGAAUUGACGGGGGCCCGCACAAGCGGUGGAGCAUGUGGUUUAAUUCGAUGCAACGCGAAGAACCUUACCAUCCCUUGACAUCCUCAGAAUUUGUCGUAAUGAUUUAGUGCCUUCGGGAACUGAGUGACAGGUGCUGCACGGCUGUCGUCAGCUCGUGUCGUGAGAUGUUGGGUUAAGUCCCGCAACGAGCGCAACCCCUAUCUUUAGUUGCCAGCACGUAAUGGUGGGAACUCUAGAGAGACUGCCGGUGAUAAGCCGGAGGAAGGUGGGGACGACGUCAAGUCAUCAUGGCCCUUACGGGAUGGGCUACACACGUGCUACAAUGGUGCAUACAGAGGGUUGCCAAGCCGCAAGGUGGAGCUAAUCCCAGAAAGUGCAUCUUGGUCCGGAUCGCAGUCUGCAACUCGACUGCGUGAAGUUGGAAUCGCUAGUAAUCGCGAAUCAGCAAUGUCGCGGUGAAUACGUUCCCGGGCCUUGUACACACCGCCCGUCACACCAUGGGAGUGGGUUGCACCAGAAGUAGCUAGACUAACCUUCGGGGGGUCGGUUACCACGGUGUGGUUCAUGACUGGGGUGAAGUCGUAACAAGGUAGCCG
rnacentral:rRNA from 1 species